rnacentral:rRNA from 1 species
UAACAAGGUUUCCGUAGGUGAACCUGCGGAAGGAUCAUUGUCGAACCCUCGCGGUAGAAUGACUUGCUAACCUGUACCAAUUAUUG